AGUCCCUGCCUUCUGUCCACAUAGAAGAUAUUACAGGAUCUUAAUUCUAAAAAAGCGCAAUAUACAUAAUCUGUAACCACACUUACAUUUUUUGCAACUCUCUGACAAAGGACAACUUAAAUUUCCUGGUAUUUUAUUAUAUACUUUGCAAGUGAGAAGCAGGCCUUGCAAUCUUAACAAGCAGACGUAGAGGUGACAAGAAAUGGAAUUUCCUACUUAGCUUCUGAAAUGUAGGAGAUGAUGUUGUUGCUGGAGGUAGCAGGAACCAGACAUGAUGACCGAGAUCUUUUCCUGUCCAAUGCAAAGGAUGGGAGUAACACAGCUAUGCACACAGAGCUGUCAGCUGCUGUAUGGGGAAAUAAUUCUAAAAGAACAAGAGCCCUUGACAACAUCAUCAAUGCAUAUAACAGAACCAGUUGGAUGAGGAAUCAACCACAGCAAGAACUGGAACUUGUGUUGAAAAGAAAGAACAGCCCAGUCCUACCUUACCCAUUC